GAUAAGAUAAGUCUUAUAAAAUAUAUAGAUGUAUGAUAAUUGAGACUGAGCUAACAGAUUGAUUCUGAAUCCUGGCACUUUGCUGAAUUUGUUUACCAUAUCUUCUGGUAAAACUGUUGAGAUCUUUAAUGUAUAGUAUCAUGGCAUCUGAAAACAGAGUCCCACUCUUCUACAUAUCAUACUGAAUCUACCACUGACAAAUGAAUGUGGGUUCCAGUACCACUUUCAACCAACAAAAUCCAGGAUGCUCAGAGUUCUCAUGGUUCUCUUUCUCACCCAAAGGAAGGGUAAGGCAGAGCCUUAGCAUGAACAGAUAUCAACACAUGUAUUCUUUAAAAGCAAUCAUAUCUAGGGCAAAAAGAAAAUAAAAAAACUUCAAUCAUU